GACGAACGCUGGCGGCGUGCUUAACACAUGCAAGUCGAACGGAAAGGCCCUGCUUUUGUGGGGUGCUGGAGUGGCGAACGGGUGAGUAACACGUGAGUAACCUGCCCUUGACUUUGGGAUAACUUCAGGAAACUGGGGCUAAUACCGGAUAGGAGCUCCUGCUGCAUGGUGGGGGUGGGAAAGUUUCGGCGGUUGGGGAUGGACUCGCGGCUUAUCAGCUUGUUGGUGGGGUAGUGGCUUACCAAGGCUUUGACGGGUAGCCGGCCUGAGAGGGUGACCGGCAACAUUGGGACUGAGAUACGGCCCAGCCUCCUCCGGGAGGCAGCAGUGGGGAAUAUUGCACAAUGGGCGGAGGCCUGAUGCAGCAACGCCGCGUGCGGGAUGACGGCCUUCGGGUUGUAAACCGCUUUGGCCUGUGACGAAGCGUGAGUGACGGUAGUGGGUAAAGAAGCACCGGCUAACUACGUG
rnacentral:rRNA from 1 species